rnacentral:lncRNA from 1 species
UGUUUAGGUAGGAUAUAUUUUGGAAAGUAGGUUUAAACCUUUGGAGUUAGGUGCCUAGUUCUCCUUCUAUCAUCAUACAUAUUUGUUUCUUUUUUAUUGUGCUAGAGAUCUUUAGUCCUUCUUAUACUUACAUUCCUUUUUUUUCUUUUUUCUUUUUUUGAAGAAAUGUCUUUUUCCACUUCUUAUUUCCGCAUCAUUUUUUAAAAUU